UGAGCAAUAUUUAUAAACUGAAGUCGGGCAGGAGCAGGAGCAGCAGCAGCAGCAGCAGCAGUAGGAGGAGGACAAGAGAGGUGUCCCCGCAAGGACACUGGACAAGUGGCAGUAGAAGUGGGCCAUGGCCAAGAGAGGAGACUGGAGGCUGGAGGAGCACAAGACUAAGCUCAUUUAAUGGGAAUGGAUUUGUUUGUUGUUUGUGGCACAGCACGAGCAAGCAGCCCCGCGCAACCACUGGCCAACGGAUCAUCUAAUUGAAUGACAAUAUUAUGCCAAGGCCUAAUUCAAUUUGCAUUCCGCUGGAGGGCAGGCAGGCCGCAACGCAACGCAACGCGUCACAUCGCAUCGCAGUCCCCCCUUCGAAAGCAGUUGUUUAAAUCUUAAACAAACACAGCAAUCAGCAAUUACAGCAGAACGGAUGCACUUGCUGCUGCUGCUGCUUCUGCUAAGGUGCCUGUGCCUCUGCUGGUUGCUGCCUAAUUACAGGGUAAUCAGGCUUUCAGCCGCUUUGGCUUUGGCGCUACCGUUUUUUUGGGGCAGCUAGAUGAUGAUUGAUUAGUGGCCAUCGCCAUCGCCAUUGCCAUCGCCAUCGCCAUCCUUAAACCCUAAGCCCGAAGACGAAUCUACCUUGCAUCUGUGGAUUGAUGACAUCUGCCUCCAAAGUGCAGGACGCGCGCGUGCCAGCGGCAGCAACAAAGGCAACAAAACGAAUGGCAAAAAGGAAAAAGUGCAAACAAGCAGCUGAAAGCCAAAAAGAGCUCUGAAAUGGAUAUGGAAAACAGCGACAGGCGACAAGCGGCAAGCGGCAAGAGGCAGCGGCAGCGGCAAAAGGCAGCGGCAGCGGCAAGCGAGAGGGAAAAAGCAAAUCGAAAACUGAUUUGGAGCGGAAGUUCGUUUGCACCUUUCCCAGCAACAGCAGUUUCCUGUAUUUGCGAUGUCAAGAACAAUAAGAACACGAGGAGACUCCGAUCCAAAUAAGAGCGAGAGCGAGGGAGAGGGAGAGGGAGUACGAGUACGCACUGUCAAGACAUUAAGAAAUCCAUGAAUCAGUGGAAAAUGUUCUACUACCUUGACGUUUUGGCCUUUGACGCCGUCUAUUGUCUUGAGAAUUGGAAUGCACAACAGAGGAGAGCAGCGAAAAACAGCAGCACCGCCCGUUGGCUUUUGUAUUGCAAAUCAAAAGCUAUAUGCGACUCCAUUCCAUUCCAUACCAUAUAUAGAUUAAGGAUAUGCUUGCCCUGCGUAUGUGUGUAUGCAAAGGAGCAGGCACGGCACGGCACGGCACAGUCCCAAGGAGCAGCUGUCGUCGUCGCUUGCUCGCUCCAUCUCCAUCGCCGUCUCUGUAUUUGAUUUGCGAUUUCUGAGGCAAGCGGAAAUGGAAUGACACGCGAGGCACUCCAGCAGCAGUAGCAGCAGCAGCACAGCCACUCCUCACAUUGUUUGGCAGCAGCAGAUUGGCAAAAAUGGAGGCAAAAACCAAACCUAAAAGAGUCCCAAACAGCGGCUUCCUUCCACUUGAGCCAUACGCAUUGUUUGACUGCUGUUCGAAACUAGGGCCAGUGCUUGCCUUUGAAGGGGCGUGCCGCCAAUGGAGGAAGCAUAUGCCUGGAAAUCGGAUAUCGCUCUAAACAAUCCAAAAAAACCAACGAAAAAACAAAACACAAACAUUUCUAGUCCCGAAAGCAGAGUUUUCCAACCCACUGAGCAGCCGCAAUCUGACGAUUCAGCUGCCGCUGCCACUGCCACUGCCACUGCCGUUGAGGGGAGAGUAGUAGGUGUAAACCUGAGCAACGCGUGUCCUAGGCCUAGACCCAGACCCAGGCCUAGGCCUAGGCCUAGAGGAUGGCCACUGAUGUCUAAUUAGCGUAUGGGUCGGGUCACAGGUUAAUGAUGUGCGCAUUGCGCACCCCGUGCCUGCGCUUCCGCCUUGGACUGGAUGGACACGACACUGCAGCAAUUAUACGAGGCACUUGAGCUUGAACGAGGAAUGCAGCAGCAGCAGCAAAAGCAGAAGCAGCAGAAACAGAAGCAAUGUAGCUUCUUCCCAAUCAUUGACCCCUCUGGAGUGGACGGGACUCGACUGGAAUGGACUCUCUGUUUCGGGUUUUAUGAUGUUGUCGUAAAUGUCAGGUGCUCUGUGCCCCAUUUAAAUUUAUUUCAACAUAAUUAGUUCGUUUCGUUUCUAUGUUUCUG
rnacentral:sRNA from 1 species